ACAGUGGUGGUUCAGUGGUAGAAUUUUCACCUCCCAUGCAAGAGACCUGGGUUCAAUCCCCAGCCAAUGUA
rnacentral:tRNA from 1 species